rnacentral:rRNA from 1 species
UACAGAGGGUGCAAGCGUUGUUCGGAAUUAUUGGGCGUAAAGGGCGCGUAGGCGGUGCGGUAAGUCUUUUGUGAAAUCUCCGGGCUCAACUCGGAGUCUGCAAGAGAAACUGCCGUGCUGGAGUAUGGGAGAGGUGAGUGGAAUUCCCGGUGUAGCGGUGAAAUGCGCAGAUAUCAGGAGGAACACCAAUGGCGAAGGCAGCUCACUGGGACGGUAUUGACGCUGAGACGCGAAAGCGUGGGGAGCAAACAGG